rnacentral:rRNA from 1 species
GUGCCAGCAGCCGCGGUAAUACGUAGGGUCCAAGCGUUAAUCGGAAUUACUGGGCGUAAAGCGUGCGCAGGCGGUUGUGCAAGACCGAUGUGAAAUCCCCGAGCUUAACUUGGGAAUUGCAUUGGUGACUGCACGGCUAGAGUGUGUCAGAGGGGGGUAGAAUUCCACGUGUAGCAGUGAAAUGCGUAGAGAUGUGGAGGAAUACCGAUGGCGAAGGCAGCCCCCUGGGAUAACACUGACGCUCAUGCACGAAAGCGUGGGGAGCAGACAGGAUUAGAUACCCUGGUAGUCCACGCCCUAAACGAUGUCAACUAGUUGUUGGGGAUUCAUUUCCUUAGUAACGUAGCUAACGCGUGAAGUUGACCGCCUGGGGAGUACUGUCGCAAGAUUAAAACUCAAAGGAAUUGACGGGGACCCGCACAAGCGGUGGAUGAUGUGGAUUAAUUCGAUGCAACGCGAAAAACCUUACCUACCCUUGACAUGCCACUAACGAAGCA